rnacentral:rRNA from 1 species
AGGAUGAACGCUAGCGGCAGGCCUAAUACAUGCAAGUCGAACGGGUGGUAGCAAUACCACUAGUGGCGCACGGGUGCGUAACGCGUAACCAAUCUGCCCUGAACUGGGGGAUAGCCCGCCGAAAGGCGGAUUAAUACCGCAUAAACCAACAGUGUGGCAUCACAUAAUUGGUAAAGAUUUAUUGGUUCAGGAUGAGGUUGCGUGCCAUUAGCUAGUUGGCGGGGUAAAGGCCCACCAAGGCGACGAUGGCUAGGGGACCUGAGAGGGUGAUCCCCCACACUGGCACUGAGAUACGGGCCAGACUCCUACGGGAGCAGCAGUAGGGAAUAUUGGGCAAUGGGCGAGAGCCUGACCCAGCCAUGCCGCGUGCCGGAUGAAGGCCUUCUGGGUUGUAAACGGCUUUUCUCAGGGAAGAAAAGCCAUGCGUGGUACACUGACGGUACCUGAGGAAUAAGCACCGGCUAACUCCGUGCCAGUAGCCGCGGU